rnacentral:rRNA from 1 species
GACGAACGCUGGCGGCGUGCCUAAUACAUGCAAGUCGAACGCAGUGGGGACGGGUGAGUAACACGUGGGUAACCUCCCAUCAGAGAGGAUAACACUUGGAAACCGGUGCUAAACCGAUACUGCUUGCUGUACCCGCGGUGCAUUAGCUAGUUUGUGAGUUAACGGCUCACCAAGGCAACGAUGCAUAGCGGACCUGAGAGGGUGAUCGGCCACACGGGGACUGAGACACGGCCCAGACUCCUACGGGAGGCAGAAGUAGGGAAUCUUCGGAAAUGGACGAAAGUCGGACCGAGCAACGCCGCGUGAGGGAAGAAGGUUUUCGGAUCGUAAAACUCUGUUGUUAGAGAAGCGGUAUCUAACAAGAAAGCCACGGCUAACUACGUGCCAGCAGCCGCGGUAAUAC